rnacentral:lncRNA from 1 species
CGAGGGUUACGCCCUCAUGACCUUCCGCGUACGAGGGUUCUGCCCUCAUGACCUUUUCACCUUCCGGAGGUCCUGCCUCCUAGCCCCAUCACCUUGCGGGUCAAUGUGAAGUCAACGUCUAAUGGACCCGAGUUCAGCCAAGAACACACACCAGUUGUUCCAGGGAAGAAUCUCAUGGUGAAGCACUAGUGAGCGUCCAAGCAACUCCCAGCCUAACCUCACCGGUCUGACUGUGGGGCUGCUUCUGCCACGGCUCCUGGCUGGCGAUGGGGCUGUCAGCGUGUCAGCCAACCAUGCAUUGCAGAUGCACUUUGAAGAAAAUUAAUGUACCUGGGUACUUAUGGGACUCCCUGAAUGAGUGGGUAUAAUUGAAAUAGCCGGGACAUCAAAAAGCUGGAACACUGGGAGCCUGGCCCUAGGGUGGCGGAGGCCACAACGGAGCCCCCAGCCGGUUGGAAAGAGGCUUCCUAUGCUCUCCUUUCCAUGCCACUGCGGAAGUGCUAGGGAACAGGAAGACCAGGGCAUUGCCAAGUGAAUAAUAACAACCAUGUGUGCGGCGUUCACGAUACCCCAGGCUCAGUGAGCCUUUUACUCAGGGUCUCAUGUGAUGCUGAAAACAAUCCCAUGAAGUUUAGAAGCCUGUGCACACGAAGAGACGUGGUGUUUCCCUAUUGAUCCAAACUGCAUGCUGACCUGUUCCUGCCAGGGCUGCGCUCCUCCUGCUUUGCCCUGGCUCUCCCGUUCUGCACUCCCUCUUCUACCGGGAAUUCCUGGAAGCACCUUUUAUUCACAGUGCCUGCUUUGAAUAGAUACAAAUACAAUUUGUAUCUUAUGUAGUCCAUUCCACACAAUUGAAAAUAUAAUGUAAUAAAAAUCAGAAAAGUAAAUCCAGGAAAGUCUCUAACACAUAUUAGGGCCUCAAUAAAUGGACCCUAAGAGGGUGGGGAAAUGGCUUUGGUUUUUAACUGUGCUUCUUUUGAGCUUGAUGCUGUUAACUUAGUACAAUCUAUCAAUAAAUAUCGUCAUCAAGAAAAUA